GUAAGGAGGCACCGCCACACAGACGCUUCACCCCUGCUCUACGUGGCGACUCUGAAAAACGCAGGCCGUGGAUUGUCCCUGCGUUAAACUGCAUGCCACAAACUGCAGUAUUUUUUUUCCAACUCAAAACUCGAUUAUAGUUAAGAGACCUUUUUUUUUUAAAUCUCAUCUUCAAUCUGAAGCAGUAGAUGAAGAAGGGUGGGAAAAAAAAGAAAGUGUCCGAUUAAUAGACAGACGAAGGGGACACAGGCAAAGAAUGAGGGGAAAAUGGAGAGCAUGGUCUGCGGGAGAAAGUGAGAAAGAGAGAGAGAGAGGUUGGAAAAAGAGUACCGGCACUGGCAAGAAAAACGGGAGGGGGAAAAGAGGAGAAGGGGGACCAGUAGGGGAUAGACCUAGGAAGGAGGGACGACUGGACAGAAAAUGGCAAAAAUCGCGGGAAAAGGAGAAAAAACAAAACUCCAGAAUCAGAUGAAGCUGGACUUCUGCUUCACUCAGGCUUGCAGUCUCUGGUUGCCUUUCAUUUUUAGUUUUUUGACAUGAUUUUUCAUCACUUCUGCGAUCACCCUCUCAUUCAUCUAUUGAGUCACCGAGACAACCUGAACCUUCUCAUAGAAGAUGUUUAUCCGGAAUGCCAUGGUCAACUGAAGCUCCCCAGUGAGAGCAGAGCCAUGGGAAAAGCCUCCGACUAGAUCCCGGUUAUGAGGAUGUGAUCGAGUCGUGUUUGAGCAGACCCGUCCAGACGAAACAUUUCAUGUCGGACUUCAUCGGCAUAGAUAACGGAAAGACAAGAGCGAGCUGGAACUGAUGCUGACAGACGUGAUGAUUUACCACCAUCACACUCGUAAUAUUAAUAAGUAUGUAUAGUGUUCAUUUUGAUUUCUGACUUUAUUUUAUACGCAGUAGAUGAUAGAUUAUUAUAUCGUAUGUAUCAGGC